ACUUGGCAAGGUCGAGCGGAGAUGAGGUGCUUGCACCUUAUCUUAGCGGCGGACGGGUGAGUAAUGCUUAGGAAUCUGCCUAUUAGUGGGGGACAACAUUCCGAAAGGAAUGCUAAUACCGCAUACGUCCUACGGGAGAAAGCAGGGGAUCUUCGGACCUUGCGCUAAUAGAUGAGCCUAAGUCGGAUUAGCUAGUUGGUGGGGUAAAGGCCUACCAAGGCGACGAUCUGUAGCGGGUCUGAGAGGAUGAUCCGCCACACUGGGACUGAGACACGGCCCAGACUCCUACGGGAGGCAGCAGUGGGGAAUAUUGGACAAUGGGGGGAACCCUGAUCCAGCCAUGCCGCGUGUGUGAAGAAGGCCUUAUGGUUGUAAAGCACUUUAAGCGAGGAGGAGGCUACUGAGACUAAUACUCUUGGAUAGUGGACGUUACUCGCAGAAUAAGCACCGGCUAACUCUGUGCCAGCAGCCGCGGUAAUACAGAGGGUGCGAGCGUUAAUCGGAUUUACUGGGCGUAAAGCGUGCGUAGGCGGCUUUUUAAGUCGGAUGUGAAAUCCCCGAGCUUAACUUGGGAAUUGCAUUCGAUACUGGGAAGCUAGAGUAUGGGAGAGGAUGGUAGAAUUCCAGGUGUAGCGGUGAAAUGCGUAGAGAUCUGGAGGAAUACCGAUGGCGAAGGCAGCCAUCUGGCCUAAUACUGACGCUGAGGUACGAAAGCAUGGGGAGCAAACAGGAUUAGAUACCCUGGUAGUCCAUGCCGUAAACGAUGUCUACUAGCCGUUGGGGCCUUUGAGGCUUUAGUGGCGCAGCUAACGCGAUAAGUAGACCGCCCUGGGGGAGUACGGUCGCAG
rnacentral:rRNA from 1 species